GAUGAACGCUGGCGGCGUGCCUAAUACAUGCAAGUCGAGCGAACAGACCAGGAGCUUGCUCCUCUGACGUUAGCGGCGGACGGGUGAGUAACACGUGGAUAACCUACCUAUAAGACUGGGAUAACUUCGGGAAACCGGAGCUAAUACCGGAUAAUAUAUUGAACCGCAUGGUUCAAUAGUGAAAGACGGUUUUGCUGUCACUUAUAGAUGGAUCCGCGCCGCAUUAGCUAGUUGGUAAGGUAACGGCUUACCAAGGCAACGAUGCGUAGCCGACCUGAGAGGGUGAUCGGCCACACUGGAACUGAGACACGGUCCAGACUCCUACGGGAGGCAGCAGUAGGGAAUCUUCCGCAAUGGGCGAAAGCCUGACGGAGCAACGCCGCGUGAGUUAUGAAGGUCUCCCGUUCGUAAAACUCUGCUCUUAGGGAAGAACAUUUGUGUCUGGAACUGUGCACCUCGGGACGGUACCUAAGCAGAAAGCCACGGCUAACUACGUG
rnacentral:rRNA from 1 species